UACGUAGGCAGCAAGCGUUGUUCGGAGUUACUGGGCGUAAAGGGUGUGUAGGCGGUUCUUUAAGUUUGGUGUGAAAUCUCCCGGCUCAACCGGGAGGGUGCGCCGAAAACUGGGAGACUAGAGUGCGGGAUGGGAGAGUAGAAUUCCUGGUGUAGCGGUGAAAUGCGUAGAUAUCAGGAGGAAUACCGGUGGUGUAGACGGCUCUCUGGACCGCCACUGACGCUGAGACACGAAAGCGUGGGUAGCAAACAGG
rnacentral:rRNA from 1 species